AACGAACGCUGGCGGCAGGCCUAACACAUGCAAGUCGAGCGAAGCCUUCGGGCUUAGCGGCGGACGGGUGAGUAACGCGUGGGAACGUGCCCUUUGGUACGGAAUAGCCCCGGGAAACUGGGAGUAAUACCGUAUGUGGUCGAGAGACGAAAGAUUUAUCGCCAAAGGAUCGGCCCGCGUUGGAUUAGGUAGGUGGUGGGGUAAUGGCCUACCAAGCCGACGAUCCAUAGCUGGUUUGAGAGGAUGACCAGCCACACUGGGACUGAGACACGGCCCAGACUCCUACGGGAGGCAGCAGUGGGGAAUCUUAGACAAUGGGGGAAACCCUGAUCUAGCCAUGCCGCGUGAUCGAUGAAGGCCUUAGGGUUGUAAAGAUCUUUCAGUGGGGAAGAUAAUGACUGUACCCACAGAAGAAGCCCCGGCUAACUCCGUGCCAGCCGCCGCCGUAA
rnacentral:rRNA from 1 species